rnacentral:rRNA from 1 species
GACGAACCGUGCGAACGUUGUUCGGAAUCACUGGGCUUAAAGGGCGCGUAGGCGGGUCGGCAAGUCUGGGGUGAAAUCGUUCGGCUUAACCGGACAACAGCCUCGGAUACUGCCGGUCUUGAGGGGGGUAGGGGCAGAGGGAACUUCGGGUGGAGCGGUGAAAUGCGUAGAGAUCCGAAGGAACGCCGGUGGCGAAAGCGCUCUGCUGGACCCUUUCUGACGCUGAGGCGCGAAAGCCAGGGUAGCGAACGGG